ACGAACGCUGGCGGCGUGCUUAACACAUGCAAGUCGAACGGAAAGGCCCUGCUUUUGUGGGGUGCUCGAGUGGCGAACGGGUGAGUAACACGUGAGUAACAUGCCCUUGACUUUGGGAUAACUUCAGGAAACUGGGGCUAAUACCGGAUAGGAGCUCCUGCUGCAUGGUGGGGGUUGGAAAGUUUCGGCGGUUGGGGAUGGACUCGCGGCUUAUCAGCUUGUUGGUGGGGUAGUGGCUUACCAAGGCUUUGACGGGUAGCCGGCCUGAGAGGGUGACCGGCCACAUUGGGACUGAGAUACGGCCCAGACUCCUACGGGAGGCAGCAGUGGGGAAUAUUGCACAAUGGGCGGAAGCCUGAUGCAGCAACGCCGCGUGCGGGAUGACGGCCUUCGGGUUGUAAACCGCUUUCGCCUGUGACGAAGCGUGAGUGACGGUAAUGGGUAAAGAAGCACCGGCUAACUACGUG
rnacentral:rRNA from 1 species